UACGUAGGGGGCUAGCGUUGUCCGGAUUUAUUGGGCGUAAAGAGCUCGUAGGUGGCUCUGUAAGUCGGAGGUGAAAGCCCACGGCUCAACCGUGGAAACGCCUUCGAAACUGUGGAGCUUGAGGCUGGGAGAGGAAAUCGGAAUUCCUGGUGUAGCGGUGAAAUGCGUAGAUAUCAGGAGGAACACCGGUGGCGAAGGCGGAUUUCUGGACCAGUUCUGACACUGAGGAGCGAAAGCGAGGGGAGCAAACAGG
rnacentral:rRNA from 1 species